rnacentral:rRNA from 1 species
GAUGAACGCUGGCGGCGUGCCUAAUACAUGCAAGUCGAGCGAACAGACGAGGAGCUUGCUCCUCUGACGUUAGCGGCGGACGGGUGAGUAACACGUGGAUAACCUACCUAUAAGACUGGGAUAACUUCGGGAAACCGGAGCUAAUACCGGAUAAUAUAUUGAACCGCAUGGUUCAAUAGUGAAAGACGGUUUUGCUGUCACUUAUAGAUGGAUCCGCGCCGCAUUAGCUAGUUGGUAAGGUAACGGCUUACCAAGGCGACGAUGCGUAGCCGACCUGAGAGGGUGAUCGGCCACACUGGAACUGCGACACGGUCCAGACUCCUACGGGAGGCAGCAGUAGGGAAUCUUCCGCAAUGGGCGAAAGCCUGACGGAGCAACGCCGCGUGAGUGAUGAAGGUCUUCGGAUCGUAAAACUCUGUUAUUAGGGAAGAACAAAUGUGUAAGUAACUAUGCACGUCUUGACGGUACCUAAUCAGAAAGCCACGGCUAACUACGUG